rnacentral:sRNA from 1 species
AGCACGGGAAGCAGCCUGAUGCCCCAGAAGAAAAACCCCGACAGUUUGGAGCUGAUCCGGAGCAAGGCUGGGCGUGUGUUUGGGCGGUGUGCCGGGCUCCUGAUGACCCUCAAGGGACUUCCCAGCACCUACAACAAAGACUUACAGCAGGCCUAGGUCCUCCCACACCUGCCCCCUAAUAAAGUGGGCGCGAGAGGA